GAGAGACAUGUGUUCUUGCUCUGUCGCAUAGGUUGGAGUGCAGGUGCAGUGGCACUGUCAUAGCUUAUGGCAGCCUUAACCUCCUGGGCUCAAGUGAUUUUCUUGCCUUAGCCUUCCUAGUAGCUGGGACAAGAAGUAUGGGGUGCCACACCUUGCUAAUUUUUUUGAAGUUUUUGUAGAGAUGGAGUCUUGCUCUGUUGCCCAGGCUGGUCUCAAACUCCUGGGCUCAAGUGAUUCUCCCACCUCAGCCUCCCAAAGCACUAGGAUUUUAGGCAUGAGCCACUGUAUCGUUUGAGCCUAGGAUUUCAAGACCAGCCUGAGCAACAUGUAGAGACAGGUGGAAACCCUGUCUCUACAAAAAUUACAAAAAUUAGCUUGGUGUGGUGGCGUGUGUUUGUAAUCCCAGCUACUUGGGAGGCUGAGGUGGGAAGCUCACUUGAGCCUGGGACGUUGAGGCUGCAGUGAGCCAAAAUUGUGCCACUGGACUCCAGCUUGGAAUACAGAGCGAGACCCUGUCUCAAAAAAAAAAAAAAAAGUUAAUAAUACUUUUAGUGACUUUUAUUGUAGGUGCUCAUUUAGCUCUUAUACUAUGUCUCCACUUUCAUUUUGACUACUCUUCCAAUAAUUAUAUGUAACAUUCUUAAAUUGAAUCGUCAUUGUACAUUAUUAUGACUAUGUAAAUUAUUUUUACUGGAGAGCUACAUGGGCUACUAUGAAAUGAUCAAAUAUAUUAACAAUUUUUUUUUUUUUUUUAAUUUUUAGAACAGAUGGGAUUUCACCAUGUUGGCCAGGCUGGUCUCAAAAUCCUGGCCUCAAGUGAUUCACCUGCCUCGGCCUCCCAAAGUGCUGGGAUUACAGGUGUGAACCACUACGUCCAGCCUUUUUUUUUUUUUUUGAGACAGGCUCUCACUCUCUCACCCAGGUUGGAGUACAGUGGCUCUAUCUCAGCUCACUGCAACCUCUGCUUCCCAAACUCAAGCAAUUCUCUCACCUCAGCCUCCAGAGUAGCUGGGACCACAGGCAUGCUUCACCACGUCUGGCUAAUUUUUUGUAUUUUUGGUAGAGAUGGGGUUUCGCCAUGUUGCCCAGGCUGGUCCCAAACUCCUGAGCUCAGGCAGUCCACCUGCCUCAGCCUCCCAAAAUACUGGGAUUACAGGAAUGAGCCACUACACCUGGCCUAAUGAUCUUAUCAAUUCAAUUUUUUGUUUCUUCUGGAGUUAAUUACCAGA
rnacentral:lncRNA from 10 species